rnacentral:rRNA from 1 species
UGGUCCUACGGGGCGCAGCAGUGAGGAAUAUUGGUCAAUGGGCGCGAGCCUGAGCCAGCCAAGUCGCGUGAGGGAUGACGGUCCUACGGAUUGUAAACCUCUUUUGCCGGGGAGCAAGCGUGCGUUCGUGAACGCGCGUCGAGAGUACCCGGAGAAAAAGCAUCGGCUAACUCCGUGCCAGCAGCCGCGGUAAUACGGAGGAUGCGAGCGUUCUCCGGAUUUAUUGGGUUUAAAGGGUGCGUAGGCGGGAUGCCAAGUCAGCGGUAACAAUGCGGUGCUCAACGCCGUC